UACGUAGGGUGCGAGCGUUAAUCGGAAUUACUGGGCGUAAAGCGUGCGCAGGCGGUUCGUUGUGUCGGUGGUGAAAUCCCCGGGCUUAACCUGGGAAUGGCCAUGGAAACUGGCGAACUGGAGUGCGGCAGAGGGGGGUGGAAUUGCCGGUGUAGUGGUGAAAUGCGUAGAGAUCGGCAGGAACACCCAGGGAGAAAUCAGCCGCCUGGGCAAGUGCUGACGCUGAGGUGCGAAAGCGUGGGGAGCGAACCGG
rnacentral:rRNA from 1 species